rnacentral:pre_miRNA from 1 species
AUGUACAGAAAUAUGUUUCAGUAGGAACAUGUUACUAUAAAGAAAUUAAUCCUAGGUAGUUUUCCUUCAAAUCAAACAUCUUGU